rnacentral:rRNA from 1 species
GACGAACGCUGGCGGCGUGCCUAAUACAUGCAAGUCGAACGCAGUGGGGACGGGUGAUUAACACGUGGGUAACCUCCCAUCAGACGGGAUAACAUUUGGAAACAGGUGCUAAACCGAUACUGAUGGAUGGCCCCGCGGUGCAUGAGCUAGUUGGUGAGGUAACGGCUCACCAAGGCCACGAUGCAUAGACGACCUGGGAGGGGGAGCGGCCACACAGGGACUGAGACACGGCCCAGACUCCUACGGGAGGCAGAAGUAGGGAAUCUUCGGCAAUGGACGAAAGUCUGACAGAGCAACACCGCGUGAGUGAAGAAGGUUUUCGGAUCGUAAAACUCUGUUGUUAGAGAAGCGGUAUCUAACCAGAAAGCAACGGCUAACUACGUGCCAGCCGCAGCGGUAAUAC